GGUGUGGGGAGAGAGCCGCGAGUGGAUCACUCAAACAGAUGCAUUGCGAGUGCGGGCACGUUUGAAAAUGGACGGGUUGAAAAUGAGUCAGAUUACUGGACCAAAGGCACAGCUGCCAGACUCGGAGGACAUGUGGAAGGGACGCCAACCUGCAUUUGGACACGCAUGAUAGACAAUCACAAAAGCAGAGGAAAAAGUUGCA